rnacentral:tRNA from 1 species
GCAGUGGUGGUUCAAUGGUAGAAUUCUUGCCUUCCAAGCAAGUGACCUAGGUUCGAUUCCCUGCCAACGUA